rnacentral:lncRNA from 12 species
AUUGUAUGUUACACCAAUUAUAAAAGUCAUGGUUUUUGGAGUUGUUUCACAGGGGCCAGGAUAAUAAUGGCUUGCAGAGACCUUGACAAAGCAGAAGGAGCACAGAAUGAGAUCAUGGAGGAGUCAGGGAACCAAAACAUAGUGAUCAGGAAACUAGAUUUAUCUGAUACCAAGUCAAUCAGAGAAUUUGCUGAGGUAAUCAACAAUGGUAAGUGAUUAAUAUAAGAGUGUUACACCAAAAUNGCCAGGGGAGUACUUUUUGAUCUGUUGUGAAUUGUAUCUUCAGACACAGGUGUUACAGCAUAUGCAGUCCAUCCAGGAAUCGUGCGGACAGAACUUAAAAAACAUAUGAAUCUCAGACUUCUAAUCAUGUGGAAGAUUGUCAGACCUUUCACAAAGACCCCAGUGAAGGGGAGCACAAACUACCAUCUUCUGUGCAGUGGAACCAGAAUUAGACAAAGAGAGUGGUGGUUACUACAGCAACUGCAGACCUUCCAGAUGCACCAGAGCUGCUAGAGAUGAUGAAAUGGCUGAGAAACUUUGGGAGCUCAGCUGCAAAAUGCUGAGAAUAGUCUGGGACUGAACGCAGUGUUUUCCGUAAACAAUUCAGUAUAUCUAUUUUUAUUUACUAUUAUUAUUGUUAUUUACAAUGAAUUCCAACAUGAACACCCAAGGAAAAAUGCCAUGACAAACGCUUAACAAAUAUUUCUUUCUCAGUUUUUUUUUUAAGAAUUCGUUUAUUUAUUUACUGCUUAAUUUACAUAAGACAGGAAACCAACAAUGUAAGACAAUUCCACUGAGACCAACACAGAGUUUACAUUAAAGAGGAAAAAAAAAAACAAGGAGCAAGGAUGAUACCAAAGUUGUAGUCAAUGAAGACAUUAUAAAGAAAAAAUUAUAUUAAAGUAACAGAUAUUUUGAAAAGAGAAGCAUAACUUUUCAGAUUUUCUAUUAAGUUUUUGAAGCAUUUAAAGCUCUGAAACAUUUUAGCAAACUCACAUAAAAAUAUAUUAAAGGAGGUUUUAAAUUUUUUCCAUUUACAAGUAUGGAUAUGAUAUUUACCCAUCAACAAAACAAAAUUAACAACAUCAGAGAAGGAUGAAUUUAAAUCACAUUUAAAAAGAGGACAUCUUGUUUGGUUAUAGGAGAAACUGACUCC